CACCGCGGUUAUACGAGAGGCCCAAGUUGAUUAAAUACGGCGUAAAGAGUGGUUAUGAAAAUUAAACAAUAAGGUCGAAUAUCCUCAGAGCAGUUAUACGCAUCCGAGGUCACGAAGCACAGUCACGAAAGUAGCCCUACUAUAAUUCUGACCCCACGAAAACCAUAGAA
rnacentral:rRNA from 1 species